AAGAGAGACAAAGAAGAGAGGAGGCAGAAGAAUAGAGAGAAGAAGGGUUAGUGAUAGAGAGGGAGAUAGGACUGGUUUUUUCUGGCUCUCUUCUUAGUUCACUCUUCUCACAGUAGCAGAAACCAUAAUUUUUUAACCCAUGUCCCUUUUUUAUUUUCUUUUGUUAUAUCCGGUCUUGGAGCUGUUGUUUUUUGGCAAAAUUUGGAAGAGGAGAUGGCAACAACCAGGAAUGUAGUGCCCCUAAACAGAGUGUGAAUUCUCUGAAAUUUGAGUUUUGGAGCUGUUGUUUUUUGGCAAAAGUUGGAAGAGGAGAUGGCAACAAUCGAGAAUAUAGUGCCCUUAAUCAGAGAAUUCUUUUAUAACAAGAAACCUCUCCCUCUGAUCAACUGGUCAGUUACAAGGUCAGUUAAGAACCCAUUCAUAUUUAUUUCUUGUAGAAUCACCUCUCUCUCCCCCCUUUCCUUAAGAAGUGGAUUCUCUCUCUCUCUCUCUUUAAAUCUCAAAUUGCGUUUCUCUUUUGGUUUUCAAGAGUUUUGGAGCUUCUGACCAAUGCACAGGGAGCUGUUACAGCCAAUAAGGUAAAUGAACAGACUUCCCCCCCCCCCCUCCCUCCUUUUGAUUAUUUUCCUCUCACUGGCCAAUGAACAGGUGGUUGUUGCAGCCCAUAAGGUAAAUGAACAGAUGCCCCCUAACCUUUUUUAUUAUUUUCCUCUCAAUUCUUACCAUUUGAAUCAUUAACUCCCUUGUGAAUGAUUUUUCCUUCCAUAUACAAUUUUCUAGACAGUAAUAAAAUCAAGCAUUAAAGAAGGAGAUUGUUUCUUCUGGCUAUCACCUCUAAUCAGAUAAGCCUAGGCGAAAUUCCAUAUUACUUUGUAUGGAAUUAAGCAUAAGAAUGGGUUUCUUCUUUUGAUGAAAGGUAUGCUAA